rnacentral:rRNA from 1 species
GAACUGAAGAGUUUGAUCAUGGCUCAGAUUGAACGCUGGCGGCAGGCCUAACACAUGCAAGUCGAGCGGAUGAAGGGAGCUUGCUUCCUGAUUCAGCGGCGGACGGGUGAGUAAUGCCUAGGAAUCUGCCUGGUAGUGGGGGACAACGUUUCGAAAGGAACGCUAAUACCGCAUACGUCCUACGGGAGAAAGUGGGGGAUCUUCGGACCUCACG